AACGAACGCUGGCGGCAUGCCUAACACAUGCAAGUCGAACGAGACCUUCGGGUCUAGUGGCGCACGGGUGCGUAACGCGUGGGAACCUGCCCUUAGGUUCGGAAUAACUCCCCGAAAGGGGUGCUAAUACCGGAUAAUAUCUUCUGACCAAAGAUUUAUCGCCUUUGGAUGGGCCCGCGUUGGAUUAGCUAGUUGGUAGGGUAAAAGCCUACCAAGGCGACGAUCCAUAGCUGGUCUGAGAGGAUGAUCAGCCACACUGGGACUGAGACACGGCCCAGACUCCUACGGGAGGCAGCAGUGGGGAAUAUUGGACAAUGGGCGAAAGCCUGAUCCAGCAAUGCCGCGUGAGUGAUGAAGGCCUUAGGGUUGUAAAGCUCUUUUACCCGGGAUGAUAAUGACAGUACCGGGAGAAUAAGCUCCGGCUAACUCCGUG
rnacentral:rRNA from 1 species